GAAUGCAGGAGUUUGCAGUGACCAUUUCAUUAAAGGUUUGUUUGAUACACUUUUAACGUUUGUGUUUCUCAUUUAAGUAUUAUCUUGAUAUUACUUGUGUUUUUUAAAACACAUAUUGCUACGAGUGUUUCGAAAAGCACCAACUUGGCGAGUCUAACAUUGACAUUGGGAUCCUCCUGGUUUAACAUGAAGGUGCUGUGCCCUCAUCCUCACUGCAUCUCAGCCCAUUCACACUGAGAAUCAUCAUUUCGGGAGAAGUUGUGAUGGACAACAUUCAAGACCUGCCAAAAGCUGUGUGCAUUCUCUUGUACCCAACGUCCAUGAAGUAAAAAUUUCCAGUUCAUCCAACAGUGCCUCCCUCUUUGGGAUUACGCCCCGCCUCCUCAGCCACCAAGUCAACGUGCACAGAGCCCAGGAGUGCAAACAUGAAGCGUGCAUUGGUGUGUGUGCUGAUGGCUGCCUGGAGCCUCGGAUGUGACAGCCAGACGGUGCACCAGCCAGCAGAGAAUGUGUACGCCAUGAAAGGCGACUCAGUGACGCUGGACUGCAGCUAUGAAAAUUAUGGAAGCAACGACUACAUCUUCUGGUACAAACAGGACGGGCAGGCGGCACCAAAGUUCAUCCUGAGGCUCUCCAUAAUGAGUCAGGGCAAGACUGAGAGCAGCUUUGAAAAGAGGUUCAGCUGCAGCAUCAAUGACAUCGCCAAGCGAGCUCCUCUGAAGAUCCAAGACGUGCAGCUGAGCGACUCUGCUAUCCUCUACUGCGCCAUCCAGCCCACAAUGACUGACAUCUCUGCUGCACCCGCACAAAAACCUAUAUGGGCUCCUCAUCCCACUGUGGCUGUUUGAGAGCUGGUUCUGAGGAGGUUUUCACAAUUUUUGUCGUUGUCAGGACAUCAUAGGCGUGGCAAACUGGAGAUGUUUUUAUUUACAUAUCUUAAUUGUUUCCAAUUCAUGUUUGUAGCACGGCAGUAAAGGGCUGAUCAAACACAACAGAAGUCAUCAUAAUAGACUGCGGAAGCUAGUUCUCCAUCAGCUAAACAGACUCAAUCAGUCCACGAAGACGUUUUAGUGAAUUUAUUGAGGAAUUUGUGAAACUGAAACUGCCCCUGAAAAAGAAACUCUCUGGGUGCCAAUGAUCUGUACAUUAGAGUAAAUCACCUUCGCAGGUCUGUCUCUGCUAUACCUAUCAUCAGACCGGGUACAUCUUUCUUUAACCUAUUAUCUACAUCUUUCUGUGGCCAUUUGUUUGGUUUUAAAUGACAUCACGUCCUGCUAACGUACCGCUCAUCAAAUAUGCGUGAUGGUCAAGCCAGCGUCUGUUCUCAAUGGGAAAUAGGCGGCAUUCAGCCUAUCUCGAAGAAAAAUGCCCUAUUCUUGCGUUGUUUUCGGCUGUACAAACUAUUUUCACCGCAAAAAGGAUAAAAGUUUCUUCAGCGUUCCUCGAGUGGUGAUAUAGAUAAACAGAAGAGUGCAAGAUUUUACAAAAUGACGACGAAAAAAGUAGCACGCACUCCAGUCCAAGGGAGCAGAGUCGAAGUAUGCAGGAGUUUGCAGUGACCACUUGAUUAAAGGUUUGUUUGAUACACUUUUAACGUUUGUGUUUCCCAUUUAAGUAUUAUCUUGAUAAUACUUGUAUUUUUUUUUAAACAUUUUGCUACGACUGUUUCAAAAAGCACGAACUCCGCAAGUCUAACCUUGACAUUGGGAUCCUCCUGGUUUAACAUGAAGGUGCUGUGCCCUCAUCCUCACUGCAUCUCAGCCCAGCCACACUGAGAAUCAUCAUUUAGGGAGAAGUUGUGAUGGACAACAUUCAAGACCUGCCAAAAGCUGUGUGCAUUCUCUUGUACCCAACGUCCAUGAAGUAAAAAUUUCCAGUUCAUCCAACAGGUACUUUUCGAGCUUGGCCAUGGUGAACUGAAACCAAAAUGACCAUUUUCUGGAUUAUGGAGUGCACCAGAAAAUAAGCCACCUCCACAUUUUUCCAUAUAUUAGCCCGCACUGGACUGUGAGCCGCAGAUAUAUACAAACCCCGUUUCCAUAUGAAUUGGGAAAUUGUGUUAGAUGUAA